rnacentral:rRNA from 1 species
ACUCAAAUGAAUUGACGGGGGCCCGCACAAGCGGAGGAACAUGUGGUUUAAUUCGAUGAUACGCGAGGAACCUUACCUGGGCUUGAAUGCAGGUUGACAGACUGGGAAACUGGUUCUUCUUCGGACAACUUGCAAGGUGCUGCAUGGUUGUCGUCAGCUCGUGCCGUGAGGUGUAGGGUUAAGUCCCAUAACGAGCGCAACCCUUAUUGUUAGUUGCCAGCGGGUAAUGCCGGGGACUCUAGCGAAACUGCCGGUGUAAACCGUGAGGAAGGAGGGGAUGACGUCAAAUCAGCACGGCCCUUAUGUCCAGGGCGACACACGUGUUACAAUGGCCGGUACAAAGGGCAGCUACCUGGUGACAGGAUGCUAAUCUCCAAAACCGGUCUCAGUUCGGAUCGAAGUCUGCAACUCGACUUCGUGAAGCCGGAUUCGCUAGUAAUCGCGCAUCAGCCACGGCGCGGUGAAUACGUUCCCGGGCCUUGUACACACCGCCCGU